rnacentral:rRNA from 1 species
UACGUAGGGCGCAAGCGUUAUCCGGAAUUAUUGGGCGUAAAGAGCUCGUAGGCGGUUUGUCGCGUCUGCUGUGAAAGACCGGGGCUCAACUUCGGUUCUGCAGUGGGUACGGGCAGACUAGAGUGAUGUAGGGGAGACUGGAAUUCCUGGUGUAGCGGUGAAAUGCGCAGAUAUCAGGAGGAACACCAGUGGCGAAGGCGGUGCUCUGGGCCGGAACUGACGCUGAUGAGCGAAAGCGUGGGGAGCAAACAGG